rnacentral:rRNA from 1 species
AACGAACGCUGGCGGCGUGGAUAAGACAUGCAAGUCGAACGAUGGCUUCAGGGUAGCAAUAUUCUGUAGUCGGAGUGGCGUAAGGGUGCGUAACACGUGGGUAAUCUGCCGUGAAGUUGGGGAUAACCCCGAGAAAUCGGGGCUAAUACCGAAUGUGGUUGCUGGGGGGCAUCUUUUGGCAACCAAAGCUGGGGACCGCAAGGCCUGGCGCUUUACGAUGAGCCCGCGGCCUAUCAGCUAGUUGGCGGGGUAACGGCCCACCAAGGCUAAGACGGGUAGCUGGUCUGAGAGGACGACCAGCCACACUGGAACUGAGACACGGUCCAGACACCUACGGGUGGCAGCAGUCGAGAAUUUUUCACAAUGGGCGCAAGCCUGAUGGAGCGACGCCGCGUGGGGGAUGAAGGGCUUCGGUCCGUAAACCCCUGUCAUUUGCGAACAAGGCGUCUGGCCUAACACGUCAGACGUUGAUAGUAGCGAAAGAGGAAGGGACGGCUAACUCCGUGCCAGCAGCCGCCGUAAGAC